UACGAAGGGGGCUAGCGUUGUUCGGAUUUACUGGGCGUAAAGCGCACGUAGGCGGCUUUCUAAGUCGGGGGUGAAAUCCUGGAGCUCAACUCCAGAACUGCCUUCGAUACUGGAAAGCUCGAGUCCGGGAGAGGUGAGUGGAACUGCGAGUGUAGAGGUGAAAUUCGUAGAUAUUCGCAAGAACACCAGUGGCGAAGGCGGCUCACUGGCCCGAUACUGACGCUGAGGCACGAAAGCGUGGGAGCAACAGG
rnacentral:rRNA from 1 species